rnacentral:misc_RNA from 1 species
UCGCGGCUUAUCACCGGCAGUCUCCCUAGAGUGCUCAACUAAAUGGUAGCAACUAAGGACGGGGGUUGCGCUCGUUGCGGGACUUAACCCAACAUCUCACGACACGAGCUGACGACAGCCAUGCAGCACCUGUGCACCUCCCACCCGAAGUGAAGAACCCCUUUCGGGGGUUCAUAGAGGGCAUGUCAAAUCCUGGUAAGGUUCUUCGCGCUGCCUCGAAUUAAACCACAUGUUCCACCGCUUGUGCGGGUCCCCGUCAAUUUCUUUGAGUUUUAAUCUUGCGACCGUACUCCCCAGGCGGGAUGCUUAACGCGUUAGCUGCGCCACUGAGAGGUAACCUCCCAACGGCUAGCAUCCAUCGUUUACAGCGUGGACUAC